rfam:Tessaracoccus sp. ZS01 NODE_1_length_779956_cov_63.7766_ID_806, whole genome shotgun sequence.
UCUGGUCCUCGGUAGUGGCUCUCGGGUGUUCUACCCCCGCGGGCCUCGAUCGAAGACCGGC